rnacentral:rRNA from 1 species
UACGAAGGGGGCUAGCGUUGUUCGGAAUUACUGGGCGUAAAGCGCACGUAGGCGGAUACUUAAGUUAGGGGUGAAAUCCCAGAGCUCAACUCUGGAACUGCCUUUAAUACUGGGUAUCUCGAGUCCGAGAGAGGUGAGUGGAAUUCCGAGUGUAGAGGUGAAAUUCGUAGAUAUUCGGAGGAACACCAGUGGCGAAGGCGACUUCCUGGCCUGUUCUUGACGCUGAGGCGCGAAAGCUAGGGGAGCAAACGGG